rnacentral:rRNA from 1 species
UACCCUUGACAUGUAUGGAAUCCUGCUGAGAGGUGGGAGUGCCCGAAAGGGAGCCAUAACACAGGUGCUGCAUGGCUGUCGUCAGCUCGUGUCGUGAGAUGUUGGGUUAAGUCCCGCAACGAGCGCAACCCUUGUCCCUAGUUGCUACGCAAGAGCACUCUAGGGAGACUGCCGGUGACAAACCGGAGGAAGGUGGGGAUGACGUCAAGUCCUCAUGGCCCUUAUGGGUAGGGCUUCACACGUCAUACAAUGGUCGGAACAGAGGGUUGCCAAGCCGCGAGGUGGAGCCAAUCCCAGAAAACCGAUCGUAGUCCGGAUCGCACUCUGCAACUCGAGUGCGUGAAGCUGGAAUCGCUAGUAAUCGCGGAUCAGCAUGCCGCGGUGAAUACGUUCCC